rnacentral:rRNA from 1 species
AAUGAACGCUGGCGGCGUGCCUAAUACAUGCAAGUCGAACGCUUCACAUAUGUGAAGAGUGGCGAACGGGUGAGUAAUACAUAAGUAACCUGGCCUUUACAGGGGGAUAACUAUUGGAAACGAUAGCUAAGACCGCAUAGGUGUGCAGAUCGCAUGAAGUGCACAUGAAAUAUGCUACGGCAUAGGUAGAGGAUGGACUUAUGGCGCAUUAGCUAGUUGGAGGGGUAACGGCCCACCAAGGCGACGAUGCGUAGCCGACCUGAGAGGGUGACCGGCCACACUGGGACUGAGACACGGCCCAGACUCCUACGGGAGGCAGCAGUAGGGAAUUUUCGGCAAUGGGGGAAACCCUGACCGAGCAACGCCGCGUGAAGGAAGAAGUAAUUCGUUAUGUAAACUUCUGUCAUAGAGGAAGAACGGUGCGUGUAGGGAAUGACAUGCAAGUGACGGUACUCUAUAAGAAAGCCACGGCUAACUACGUGCCAGCCGCCGCAGUAA